rnacentral:rRNA from 1 species
GAUGAACGCUGGCGGCGUGCUUAACACAUGCAAGUCGAGCGAGUGAGUUCUUCGGAACGAUCUAGCGGCGGACGGGUGAGUAACACGUGGGCAACCUGCCUCAUAGAGGGGAAUAGCCUCCCGAAAGGGAGAUUAAUACCGCAUAAAAUUAUCGAGUGGCAUCACACGAUAAUCAAAGGAGUAAUCCGCUAUGAGAUGGGCCCGCGGCGCAUUAGCUAGUUGGUGAGGUAACGGCUCACCAAGGCGACGAUGCGUAGCCGACCUGAGAGGGUGAUCGGCCACAUUGGGACUGAGACACGGCCCAGACUCCUACGGGAGGCAGCAGUGGGGAAUAUUGCACAAUGGGAGAAACCCUGAUGCAGCAACGCCGCGUGAGUGAUGAAGGUCUUCGGAUUGUAAAGCUCUGUCUUUGGGGACGAUAAUGACGGUACCCAAGGAGGAAGCCACGGCUAACUACGUGCCAGCAGCCGCAGUAA